GGGUUGUGAGGUUAAGCGACUAAGCGUACACGGUGGAUGCCCUGGCAGUCAGAGGCGAUGAAGGACGUGCUAAUCUGCGAAAAGCGUCGGUAAGGUGAUAUGAACCGUUAUAGCCGGCGAUGUCCGAAUGGGGAAACCCAGUGUGAUUCGUCACACUAUCGUUAACUGAAUACAUAGGUUAACGAGGCGAACCGGGGGAACUGAAACAUCUAAGUACCCCGAGGAAAAGAAAUCAACCGAGAUUCCCCCAGUAGCGGCGAGCGAACGGGGAGCAGCCCAGAGUCUGAAUCAGCUUGUGUGUUAGUGGAACGGUCUGGAAAGUCCGACGGUACAGGGUGAUAGUCCCGUACACCAAAAUGCACAGGCUGUGAACUCGAAGAGUAGGGCGGGACACGUGGUAUCCUGUCUGAAUAUGGGGGGACCAUCCUCCAAGGCUAAAUACUCCUGACUGACCGAUAGUGAACCAGUACCGUGAGGGAAAGGCGAAAAGAACCCCGGCGAGGGGAGUGAAAAAGAACCUGAAACCGUGUACGUACAAGCAGUGGGAGCACCUUCGGGUGUGACUGCGUACCUUUUGUAUAAUGGGUCAGCGACUUAUAUUCUGUAGCAAGGUUAACCGUAUAGGGGAGCCGCAGGGAAACCGAGUCUUAACUGGGCGUUAAGUUGCAGGGUAUAGACCCGAAACCCGGUGAUCUAGCCAUGGGCAGGUUGAAGGUUGGGUAACACUAACUGGAGGACCGAACCGACUAAUGUUGAAAAAUUAGCGGAUGACUUGUGGCUGGGGGUGAAAGGCCAAUCAAACCGGGAGAUAGCUGGUUCUCCCCGAAAGCUAUUUAGGUAGCGCCUCGUGAAUUCAUCUUCGGGGGUAGAGCACUGUUUCGGCUAGGGGGUCAUCCCGACUUACCAACCCGAUGCAAACUACGAAUACCGAAGAAUGUUAUCACGGGAGACACACGGCGGGUGCUAACGUCCGUCGUGAAGAGGGAAACAACCCAGACCGCCAGCUAAGGUCCCAAAGUCAUGGUUAAGUGGGAAACGAUGUGGGAAGGCACAGACAGCCAGGAUGUUGGCUUAGAAGCAGCCAUCAUUUAAAGAAAGCGUAAUAGCUCACUGGUCGAGUCGGCCUGCGCGGAAGAUGUAACGGGGCUAAACCAUGCACCGAAGCUGCGGCAGCGACACUAUGUGUUGUUGGGUAGGGGAGCGUUCUGUAAGCCUGCGAAGGUGACCUGUGAGGGUUGCUGGAGGUAUCAGAAGUGCGAAUGCUGACAUAAGUAACGAUAAAGCGGGUGAAAAGCCCGCUCGCCGGAAGACCAAGGGUUCCUGUCCAACGUUAAUCGGGGCAGGGUGAGUCGACCCCUAAGGCGAGGCCGAAAGGCGUAGUCGAUGGGAAACAGGUUAAUAUUCCUGUACUUGGUGUUACUGCGAAGGGGGGACGGAGAAGGCUAUGUUAGCCGGGCGACGGUUGUCCCGGUUUAAGCAUGUAGGCUGGUUGUCCAGGCAAAUCCGGAUAAUCAAGGCUGAGGUGUGAUGACGAGGCACUACGGUGCUGAAGUAACAAAUGCCCUGCUUCCAGGAAAAGCCUCUAAGCAUCAGGUAACAUUAAAUCGUACCCCAAACCGACACAGGUGGUCAGGUAGAGAAUACCAAGGCGCUUGAGAGAACUCGGGUGAAGGAACUAGGCAAAAUGGUGCCGUAACUUCGGGAGAAGGCACGCUGGUGUGUAGGUGAAGUCCCUGCGGAUGGAGCUGAGACCAGUCGAAGAUACCAGCUGGCUGCAACUGUUUAUUAAAAACACAGCACUGUGCAAACACGAAAGUGGACGUAUACGGUGUGACGCCUGCCCGGUGCCGGAAGGUUAAUUGAUGGGGUUAUCCGUAAGGAGAAGCUCUUGAUCGAAGCCCCGGUAAACGGCGGCCGUAACUAUAACGGUCCUAAGGUAGCGAAAUUCCUUGUCGGGUAAGUUCCGACCUGCACGAAUGGCGUAAUGAUGGCCAGGCUGUCUCCACCCGAGACUCAGUGAAAUUGAACUCGCUGUGAAGAUGCAGUGUACCCGCGGCAAGACGGAAAGACCCCGUGAACCUUUACUAUAGCUUGACACUGAACAUUGAGCCUUGAUGUGUAGGAUAGGUGGGAGGCUUUGAAGCGUGGACGCCAGUCUGCGUGGAGCCAACCUUGAAAUACCACCCUUUAAUGUUUGAUGUUCUAACGUUGGCCCCUGACCGGGGUUGCGGACAGUGUCUGGUGGGUAGUUUGACUGGGGCGGUCUCCUCCCAAAGCGUAACGGAGGAGCACGAAGGUUAGCUAAUCCUGGUCGGACAUCAGGAGGUUAGUGCAAUGGCAUAAGCUAGCUUGACUGCGAGCGUGACGGCGCGAGCAGGUGCGAAAGCAGGUCAUAGUGAUCCGGUGGUUCUGAAUGGAAGGGCCAUCGCUCAACGGAUAAAAGGUACUCCGGGGAUAACAGGCUGAUACCGCCCAAGAGUUCAUAUCGACGGCGGUGUUUGGCACCUCGAUGUCGGCUCAUCACAUCCUGGGGCUGAAGUAGGUCCCAAGGGUAUGGCUGUUCGCCAUUUAAAGUGGUACGCGAGCUGGGUUUAGAACGUCGUGAGACAGUUCGGUCCCUAUCUGCCGUGGGCGCUGGAGAAUUGAGGGGGGCUGCUCCUAGUACGAGAGGACCGGAGUGGACGCAUCACUGGUGUUCGGGUUGUCAUGCCAAUGGCACUGCCCGGUAGCUAAAUGCGGAAGAGAUAAGUGCUGAAAGCAUCUAAGCACGAAACUUGCCCCGAGAUGAGUUCUCCCUGAGACUUUAAGUCUCCUGAAGGAACGUUGAAGACGACGACGUUGAUAGGCCGGGUGUGUAAGCGCAGCGAUGCGUUGAGCUAACCGGUACUAAUGAACCGUGAGGCUUAACCUUACAACGCCGAAG
rnacentral:rRNA from 1 species